UACGGAGGAUGCAAGCGUUAUCCGGAAUCAUUGGGCGUAAAGGGUCCGUAGGUGGCAGUUCAAGUCUGCUGUUAAAUGCUGGGGCUUAACCCCAGACUGGCAGUGCAAACUGAACAGCUAGAGUGCGGUAGGGGUAGGUGGAAUUCCCCGUGUAGCGGUGAAAUGCGUAGAUAUCGGGAAGAACACCGGUGGCGAAGGCGGUCGGCUGGACCGCAACUGACACUGAUGGACGAAAGCGAGGGGAGCGAAUGGG
rnacentral:rRNA from 1 species